GAGCCCCGGGACGGGCCGAGGCCGAACCCCGGCCGUGAGGGGAGCGCUCCGGUGAGCCCCGGGACGGGCCGAGUCCCGGCCGUGAGGGGAGCGCUCCGGGGCUGUGAGAUACCGUGGCAGUAGCACACACAACAGCCAGCCCACUGCUCCAGAGGGAAUGACAGCUUCCAAGCCAUCCAGCAGGGACUAAGGGUCCCUUCUUCACACAGAGACAGUCCUGCUCCAUCGAGAAGCCAAAGAGCUGAACCUCAAGUUAAAAUUAAAGAGCUCAGUUUGCAGGUGCUGAAUCAGGACCUUAUUAAAAGUGAGCAGGCGUCUUCAGCUGCUACUUCUGCUGCCCUGUCAUUGUGGUUGUAUCUACUCCCAGUCUUUGACUAUCUCGAGUAACCAAGCCUCAGCACUGGUGACAGCUGAUCAGGAAUUAGAGGGCUUCUUUCCAGCGGCUCUACAGGAUACAGAAGAAAUGUAGGUGGGACUUAAAUUAGCAGCACCACUGUCCUUAUGCCACCGAAGGGCUGCAAGUACCUCACAAGCAGGUGCAAGGAGCCAAAUGUUGGAACCAGCAGCCUUCCUCCCCAGAAACACCCUCAGAGAAUCCAGAGAUCACAGCUUGGAGCACAGAGUUGGUGAGUGGGGACCGCUCUCUCCUGACAUCUGCACUAGGACCCCUUUUUUUCCACAGCUCACCAUCAACUCAUGCCCCUAUGUUUAGACCUUGCAGAAGUUCAUUGAUUACUGAAUCCCAGUUCAGGAAAAAAGAAGCAAGUGGAUAAGAGAGUUUGGUCACUUCUAAAAAAAAUUAGUAUUAUUAUUAAAAUAUUAAUGUCUGUAUUUAUAUAAUAUUUUUUAAUGUUUUGUAUUAAUGUGAUGCACUGAAUACGCCAAAGAUGAAAAAGUUGUCCAUAGAUCAAAUGUCUCAUGGCUAAAAACAUCUUUCUGAUGAUAAACCUAAGUUGACAACUCUGUUAAUAGGAUUAGGUUCAUUAAGGGUCUACUUUCUCUUAUAAAUCUGGUCCAGAUAGCAUGGAGCUUUAGAUUUUACGUGGCAAAGGGGGGCCCUGCUUAGUCCUGAAUUUCAUGCUUUUACUUAAAAUGCUUGUUAGUGAUUGAUACUGGUAAUAUUCAAUGUUUCUAGACCAUACUAGGCUACCUGGAAUGACAUUCAAUUUUCAAGAUAUUUAAUGCAUUAUUACAAGUCUAAGAGCAUAUUCCUGCCAGAAUGUUGUAUUACAGCACUGAUUUUUCUUUUUUAGGGACAUGUUAGCAUGCAUAUAGUAGUUAUAUUUUCUUCCUGCUAGAACAUGUUUUCAUUGGGGCUGAUGAAAACCAAGAAAUGCUAUACAGGGAGAAACAAAAGCAGGAAAACGUAUCCUGCAAUAUUGUUUUCUGGCUUAGAGCUACUCUCCUACCUUGGAGACAAGUCUUCUAUUGUUGUUACUGACAUAUGGCUCCAGAGAGCACUUGGUACAUGCCAAAGCCAAGACCCUGCUGGAGAUGGGUCAGAUCCCCACUGCAUACUUAUGUAUCUAUGAGGUGCUCAGCCAAGGGGGACUGGUGACCUGGACAACAUCUCCAGCUGUAAAAAUCACUACAAGUGGGCGAAUUUGAAAACCAGAGACACCCAGCUCCACUGAUGUUCAGUUGAGAC